rnacentral:lncRNA from 1 species
UUUAAAUUUUAAACUUUAGAUAUCAACUAUUAAUAAUUUUUGGACAAACUUCAAAAACCCCCAUAUAGUUUCGCACUUUUUCAUUUUAGUAACCCUAUGGUUUAAAGUGUAUCAAGUUAGUAUCCUGUGGUUUCGCACUUUCUCACUUUAGUAUCCUGUGGUUUAAAGUGUAUAAAAUUAGUACUCUGUGGUUUUAUUUUUGUAUCAAGUUAGUACUAUGUGGUUUUGUUUUUGUAUCAAACUAGUACCCUGCGAUUUUAUUUUUCUCUUAAUGAAAUAUUGAAUCACGGGAUACUAAAGUCAGAAAGUGCGAAAUCACAGGGCACUAACUUGAUUCACUUUAAACCACAGAAUAUAAAAGUGAGAAAGUGUGAAACCACAAGAUACUAACUUGAUACACUUUAAACCACUGGGUACUAAAGUAAA